UACAGAGGGGGCAAGCGUUGUUCGGAAUUACUGGGCGUAAAGGGCGCGUAGGCGGCCUACUAAGUCGAACGUGAAAUCCCCGGGCUUAACCCGGGAACUGCGUCCGAUACUGGUUGGGCUUGAAUCCGGGAGAGGGAUGUGGAAUUCCAGGUGUAGCGGUGAAAUGCGUAGAUAUCGGGAGGAACACCAAUGGCGAAGGCAGCUCGCUGGGACGGUACUGACGCUGAUGCGCGAAAGCCAGGGGAGCAAAGCGGG
rnacentral:rRNA from 1 species